UGGGGAAUUUUGGACAAUGGGCGAAAGCCUGAUCCAGCAAUGCCGCGUGUGUGAAGAAGGCCUUCGGGUUGUAAAGCACUUUUGUCCGGAAAGAAAUCCUUGGCUCUAAUACAGUCGGGGGAUGACGGUACCGGAAGAAUAAGCACCGGCUAACUACGUGCCAGCAGCCGCGGUAAUACGUAGGGUGCAAGCGUUAAUCGGAAUUACUGGGCGUAAAGCGUGCGCAGGCGGUUUGCUAAGACCGAUGUGAAAUCCCCGGGCUCAACCUGGGAACUGCAUUGGUGACUGGCAGGCUAGAGUAUGGCAGAGGGGGGUAGAAUUCCACGUGUAGCAGUGAAAUGCGUAGAGAUGUGGAGGAAUACCGAUGGCGAAGGCAGCCCCCUGGGCCAAUACUGACGCUCAUGCACGAAAAGCGUGGGGAGCAAACAGGAUUAGAUACCCCUGGUAGUCCACGCCCUAAACGAUGUCAACUAGUUGUUGGGGAUUCAUUUCCUUAGUAACGUAGCUAACGCGUGAAGUUGACCGCCUGGGGAGUACGGUCGCAAGAUUAAAACUUAAAGGAAUUGACGGGGUCAUAGCUGUUUCCU
rnacentral:rRNA from 1 species